rnacentral:lncRNA from 1 species
UGGGGGCGGGGUCACCGGCCCUCGGGGUUUCCGGGUGACCGAGGGCAGAGGCGCCUUCCCCAGCGGCCCCUCCUCUGACACCGCCCCGGCACCCCCGGCCGGCGCCGGGACCUGCGGGGCUCACGUGUCCGUCCACGUUCUCCCCAGGGCUCCGUCCUCCCCCCCACCCCCCGCCCCCGGCUGAGAUCUGGAAAGUUCACGGGAGCCCAGAAAGCCCUUCAAGGCGGCGAUCGGGACCCUCGUCACCCGGGACUCCUGACCCUUGCCCUUCCCGGAAGCAAGGGCGCUUAGGAAGCACCUGGUUGGCGACUGAGCGGAAAACUUUGCGUUGUAGGAUUCGGACAACAGCUCGGGGGCCAAGGGAGUCCCAGAUGGAGAAUCCCCACGGGGCGCGGGUCUGCGGCUGCGAAACAGCCCUCCUUCCCGGACGCCUGGAACUCGGGAGUGGCCUUUCCGGGGGACCCCCGCCCCCAACACAUGCACCCACGCUCCCGACCUGCGACCUCCCCUCGCAGCCCGGGCAUUGCCCUCCAGCCUCUCGCUCCGCUGAGAAGCAGCCCGGCGCCUUUAAGGGCCGCCCGCUUACCUUUGCUCCGGUCCGGGCGCCGCGGUCACCCCGCUCCGACCUCGUCCCCGGCGCCGCCAGCCGCGCCGCACCCGCAGACUCACCGCGCGUCCUGGGUCGCGGCGCGCCCGCUCCCGCCAGCCACUGCCGGGCUCCCGGGGGCUGAGCGCCGUGCCCUGCGCCCUGCCGGGGUCCCUGCCGGGGUCCCUGCCGGGCUCCGGGCGCUUCCUGCACUCCAGAAAGACUGGGCCUUAACAAGGCCAGCUCUUGAGGUAGGAGUGGUCCGGGGGGUGAACCGAAGGCAAAGAAAG